CAGUAGCCGCGGUAAUGCGUAGGGUGCGAGCGUUAAUCGGAAUUACUGGGCGUAAAGCGUGCGCAGGCGGUUGUGUAUGACAGGUGUGAAAUCCCCGGGCUUAACCUGGGAACUGCGCUUGUGACUGCACAGCUAGAGUAUGGCAGAGGGGGGUGGAAUUCCACGUGUAGCAGUGAAAUGCGUAGAGAUGUGGAGGAACACCGAUGGCGAAGGCAGCCCCCUGGCCAAUACUGACGCUCAUGCACGAAAGCGUGGGAAGCAAACAGGAUUAGAUACCCCUGUAGUCCCUGUCUCUUAUACC
rnacentral:rRNA from 1 species